GUAGGUGGCAAGCGUUGUCCGGAAUUAUUGGGCGUAAAGCGCGCGCAGGCGGUUCUUUAAGUCUGAUGUGAAAGCCCACGGCUCAACCGUGGAGGGUCAUUGGAAACUGGAGAACUUGAGUACAGAAGAGGAAAGCGGAAUUCCACGUGUAGCGGUGAAAUGCGUAGAGAUGUGGAGGAACACCAGUGGCGAAGGCGGCUUUUCUGGUCUGUAACUGACGCUGAGGUGCGAAAGCGUGGGGAGCAAACAGGGAUUAGAUACCCUGGUAGUCCACGCCGUAAACGAUGAGUGCUAAGUGUUAGGGGGUUUCCGCCCCCUUAGUGCUGCAGCUAACGCAUUAAGCACUCCGCCUGGGGAGUACGGCCGCAAGGCUG
rnacentral:rRNA from 1 species